rnacentral:lncRNA from 10 species
CUCCAUUUCCUAGAAUUAAUAGCUGGUAUAUAUAUAUAUUAUUUUCUGUGCUUUGAUCUUAUCUUCAUAAACAUCAUUACCAAUGGCAUCAGGUUUUUAGGUGGAGGACUUCAGGCAAAAUUUCCACACUUGAGUAAAGAUUGAACAGUAGUUAUUUGAUAUCCUUGUCCUUGGUGACCUUGAAGCAUAAAGAGAUAAAAAUAAACCCGUUGAGAUGCAGGGAGUCAUACAUUUCUUUCUUCAAUCACACUGCCUCUCCUCCCUGUGAGCCACAUCUCUUCUUCUAUUUCCAUCUGAAGCACUCUUUUCUCAUUCUCAUCUAUCUCCUUUAAUGAAUCCUGUCCUUGGAGUCACAUCUUCCCCCUCUGUUGGGACCAUGAAAUGCGAUAUUCACUCCUACCCAGCAUGAGCCCACGUGAAAGGGCAGGAGAUGUCAGGGAACAAUAAGAUAGAGAAAGGAGCUGGUGUGUCCAACGACAAGGGCUAAAGGGAAACUUCUCAUUGGGCAGAAAGGUAGGAGGAGCGUACAAAAUGUAUUCCUGGUGCAACUGCUGUCAAGGAAGGCUUGGGACUUUUGACUAAUGGCCCUGAGAACUGGAGCAAUCAGAAAGCCUUUGCAUUUUUGUGUGUCUGAAUGUGUUAGCCUUUAUUCUGAUCUUUUUGCAUUCCAAUAUUAGCCUUUAUUUGUUCCAAGAAUCCCACAUGAAUAUAUGUGACAAACAGCAUAAACUUUGUCAUGUAGAUCCAACCAUCUCUGUCUACACAGAGAUGUUUCUCACAAAAGACAGCUACCUUUGUGUUCUGAUUUGCUUAGGGACAUCCUUGGUAAUUUAGGACUGUUAUGAGGUAUGUUGGCCACCCUCAAAUUUAACUCCCUCUUCUGUUCAUUGUGUACCACAAAUAAUUGAAUGAGCUAAUAUGUGAAACAAUUGGAUUAUAAAGGAUUAAUGAAGAUAAUUAUUGAAAAACCCUUAGAAUAGUCUGAGUCAUUCUGCAUACUCAGUAAAUGAGAGACAUCAUUAUUUCCAUUCUAUUAGGUACUUUUAGUCACAUCCACUGUUUUAACAACUAUGUCUCUAUUGAUGUAAUUCAGUAAAAGGCCCAGCCAAAAUUACCCAAGUUUAAGCUCUAUAUAUCAGAUGGAUAAUUCUUAGAUGUCCUGUGGGAAUCUCAAACUUAACUUGUCUAGAGCAGAACACGUUUUUUCCCUGGAACAUGGUCUUUCUACUGUGCUCAUAAGAGGUGUAUUGAAGAGUAAAUGCAAUCAUAUACAUAAAAACAUAACUUUCACUUCCAGCUUUACCCAGUAGAAGCUCAGUUAGAAAAAUAUUGUUUUCAUUGUUAUUUAAAGACUAUGCAAGUUUUUUAUGUCAGCCUGAUCCAGAAAUGAAUUAUGAUUUAUGUUGAUCCUCUUGUGGAAAACCCAGAUAAAGUUGUAGUGAUUGGGAAUAAAACUAAUAGCUUCGUUUUUUCCCAUAUAGUAAUUCUGAGCCAGUAAUAUCUCCAUUUGUUUUCCCAACCAUUCUGGGCUCUUUGAUUUAGGAGAGUCAUGACAAAAGAUGAAAAAUAAGAAUGGUCUGCUUUUGACUUUAAAUCCAAAAGCAUAGAAAAAUUUAUACAAAUUAAUAAUUAAUACAAACACAGUAUUAUUGGGAUGAUCUAUGAUAUACAAAAGCAAGGACUUCUUUCAGAGCUAGUGAAUCACAGAGGAAGUAACAGGAUGUAUUUUCCAGGCAUCCUGUGGAAGUGCUAGAUAUCAAAGAAGAAAUGGCUAUAUGGGAGGUUAGGUGUAGGAGACAUAGGACCCUAGCUGAGAUUCCUGGGCUAAGGGAGGUUUAGAUGCAGUCAAAUAAAUCUAACGGCUAUAGAAACAGACCAUAAUGCGUAUUUAAAAUGGUAGAACCUAGGCAAACUUUGCGUAGUCCCUUCAAAGCCAAAAUGCAGGAAAAAUAAGUUCUUUUCCAGAAUGUUGUCCUGGGAUGUUCAAUUAUGUCUAUUAAGUAACAGAAAAGUGGGUCUGAGCUGGUAAUGACUACAUAUGCGUUCCAUCCAUGGUCACCUAAGCCAAGAUGGCUAAAGAGGACGUGCUAGCUUUGACUCUCAAAUAAAUUACAUAUAAUUUAUUGAGGAAAAUGUGAUUCUCGGGCUUAUCAAAAACAACAAAAACAUAAACAAACCAAAAAACGACCACAAAUUGAGAACUCCUGUAUAUAGGUAAUCUGUCUUCAACUAGUCUGUAUGGUGACAUGUCUUCAACUAAAAGAGUGGUGACAUGAUUCUCCUCUUGCCUUUCUCUUUCAUCACCUUCCCUCUCACUGUAGAUCAUAGUCUUCUGUUCCCUAGGUGGAGGUGACUCCACUGGUCAUAUCAUGACCAAAAGCAGGCUGGGAUUCAAUUGGAACACUUAGAUAUAAAUUCAUUAGUUCACCUUUGUCUGAUGUUCUCUGGACAAGAAAUCUAUAAACUGUACUUAUUAUCAAGUGUGGUUGAAAAACACUUUAUUAUUAGAAUUUUAAUAAAUGUUCUAAAUAAAAUAAAGAGAAAUGUUCAGGACACCUUGGCAUGAUGUGUUCUAUGGCAGGAGGAGAAUAUCAGUGCAGUAUUUUUCUGAGGAAGGGGGAUUUUGGUUGGCCCAGAAAUAUAUUGGGGCAAAUGAAGAGAUGAGAGUAAGGGAUUCUAAAAAAAGGAAGUAGCAUAUGCCAAGACACUAGCUAUGGAAAGAAACAGGGAUUUUGAAUAUCAAUCCUAAGUUAUGGUCAUUAGUCGUAGUGGAAAAUUGUGAAAGGAAACUGGAAUAGAAGGUACGAACAUACUGUUGUAUUCAUCUCUCCUUGUCUGGAUACCUCCUCACAUACACCAUAUUUGCACCAAUGAAAAACAGUAAUCUUCCUGAAGACAGAAAUGAUUUCAUGAAUGCAUAUUUUGUGAGUAUUGAAGGACUUAGAAUCCAGUGGCAUGUCCAAUUAUAUAUUGAUAAAUGAAUGAGAAAUGUAGUAAAAUAAUGAAAUAAUAUAUAGUCAGAAUUUAAAUGAGAAUCCCUUUGAAGACUCUGAUUACCCCUACAAUUAUAUUUUAGAGGUACAGCAAUGCAAAUAGAAAGGUGGUACCUUAUUUAAGGAACUGCUGGAUGGCGGUUGGUGGAAGUGUCAGAAGAAAGAGGAGGGGCCACAGUUGGUGAGGUGAUUCUAAAGUUUGCAGGCGAUGACUGUGCUCCUGGGUGGGUUUCAUCCUUCUGGAGUCAUAAAUUUGGGUAAUUUAGUCUUUCACUUUAUGACAGAAAGAACUGGUUUUUUCUGCUUAAUAUUUUCCUAUAUAAGUUGGAUGUAAUACAUGUGUGUAUAUGUGUGUGUGUGUGUGUGUGUGUGUGUGUGUGAAAAUCCCUUUUUAUAGAAUCUUCCCUCUGCUAAUCUCUCUGGAUGCUGGCAUACAUUUAGUUUUCUUAACCCACAUUUCAGCAUACACAGAAACUAGCAUAUAGUAUAAGAGAAAAUGGAUCUGAGCUGGAAAUGAUUAGGCAUGGGGUCUAUUUGAGGCCACUUCUGCCAAGAUGACUGCCUGCUUACUGAUCCACCAGAUAAAAUCUGUAGACACUCUUCAGGAAAAUAUGAACUUUGGGUAACAAUAACAAAAUAAUAAAGAAAAAUCCAG